CAGCCGGUGCAGGGUGGCAGCAGCAGGGUGGAAGCCCAGCGUGAGGACUGCGAGAAAGACUUUGUUGGAUGCAGCAGGAAAGCACAGCCGCUGGUGGAUGCCAGUGUCCGCUCCUGAGGCUCUGCGCCAAGCUCUGCCCAGUGCUGAUGGGAUGCCAGUGCCACCUGCUGCUCUUAAGAAAAGGUAGGUUUGAUUUCUUUUGGUUUCCAUAGCAUUUGCUACACUUUCAUUCUGUCUCCUUUUUUUUUUUUUUUUCUUUUUGCUCUCAAUAAAUGGCAGGUUCAAUUCAUUUUGGCUCCUGUAGUGUUUGCUACACUUGUGUUCUGUUUCUCUUCUCUUUUUUCCAUGUUGCCUGGCGGUGCCUGGCUGGAGUUCCCAUGACCCCCGGACCCACUUGUGACCAAGUGAGGUGCCAAAAACAGAGGUAUCUCCUAAGCAGGCUUGUGCUGAGUGCUGUCCUCGUCUUGGGGAUUGGCGACUCCACCACCAGAAGCAGCAGGCAUUUGGGGAUGUCCAAGGUUCCGCAGUGAACGUGUCCUGUUCCUGGUAAAGGUGUGGGCGUUCCUGGACACGAAGGUAUCUAUCUUCAUGCCUUGCCCAUGUGCCCAGUCCCCCACCAGAUGCUGUUUGCCUUUUGGCCCCCCUGAUUUGCUGCACUGCUGCGCCCUGAUCCUUGCAGAGGGGCUCUCAUUGGUCACCGGCAGCGCCGUCCCGCCCUCGCCAGCCUGUGAUUGGUCAUCGGCAGUGCCGUCCCGCCCUCAUGUGUCUCUCAUUGGUGAUCGACAGCACCGUCCCGCCCUAUCAGCAUCUCAUUGGUCAUCGGCAGCGCUCUCCCGCCCCCGCCAGCCUUUCGGUGGUAAUCGUUAACGCCGUCCCACCUUCAUGUGCCUCUCUUUGGUCAUCGGCAGCGCUGUCCUUCCCUCGCCAGUCUUUCAUUGGUCAUCUACAGCUCCAUCCCGCCUCCGCCAGCAUCUCAUUGGACAGCAGCAGCCUUUUUCCCCGCCUUUUUCCCCGCCUUUUUCCCCGCCUUUUUCCCCGCCUUUUUCCCCGCCUUUUUCCCCGCCUUUCUCUUCACCUUCCCCUGGCCCCUUUUCCCCUUUCCUUUUCCUUCUUCUCAUGUCCUGUUUUUUCCUUCCAGGUCUCCUUUUUACUCUCCCUUCCCCCCUUUUAUCUCCC